rnacentral:rRNA from 1 species
UGACGAGUUUGAUCCUGGCUCAGAUUGAACGCUGGCGGAAUGCUUUACACAUGCAAGUCGAACGGUAGAGGGGGCAACCCCUCGAGAGUGGCGAACGGGUGAGUAAUAUAGUCGGAACGUGCCCAGUCGUGGGGGGAACUAACGUAGCGAAAGUUACGCGUAAUACCGCAGUACGAUCUAAGGAUGAAAGCGGGGGAUCGCAAGACCUCGGCGCGAUUGGAGCGGCCGAUAUCAGAUUAGGUAGUUGGUGGGUAAAGGCUCACCAAGCCAACGGAUCAGUAGCUGGUCUGAGACGGAU